rnacentral:rRNA from 1 species
UACAGAGGGGGCAAGCGUUGUUCGGAAUUACUGGGCGUAAAGGGCGCGUAGGCGGCCUUCUAAGUCGAACGUGAAAUCCCCGGGCUCAACCCGGGAACUGCGUCCGAUACUGGAAGGCUUGAAUCCGGGAGAGGGAUGUGGAAUUCCAGGUGUAGCGGUGAAAUGCGUAGAGAUGUGGAGGAACACCGAUGGCGAAGGCAGCCUCCUGGGCCAGCACUGACGCUCAUGCACGAAAGCGUGGGGAGCAACAGG